CACAGUUCUUUUGGGCACUCAAACGAGAGGAAGAGGAAGUGAAUAAAGCUCAUGCUAAAUAUAUAGCACCCACCGAAGGCAGGGAUGUAGACCGAGAGAACGGUGAAAGGAAGGAAAGCAUGCUUCACCAGGAUCCAGAUGUGUGCUAACAUACCUAAACCUACAGAAGCAAGGAAGAUAUCCGAAGCAAGGAAGACAUCGUAAGCAAGGGCAUUCCUCAAAUUCGAGAGGGCGGAUGCUUCUAGGGCCAGAAAGACUCCCUGGCCCUCAGUUACAGAGCGACUGGGAGGGUACAAAAUGGAGUUGAGGUUUAGGGGCACCCUAAAGGUCGUUUGGAGGUCUAGCAAGCAGUUGGUGGUCUCUUCCGGAAAGGGCCGUGGCAAAGCCUAGUACCCCGAUCAGGAAGAUGACUUCUGGCCCUCAGGGUGCGGUGAGCGGCAGUAAGAGGCAGGCUGGGGUCCCGAGGACCCCAGACUCCAUCACAGGAGCAGAUACAGUGACCUCGAGAAUCUUCCCGGCCCCCGUGAGGCGGGAGGAUAGACCGCCCUGGCUCAAGAAAAAAAACGAGCCGAUUCCGGGAACUGGAAUGCCCACCCAACCUACUCCCGGCUCAGGUGAGGUACGCCAGCCCCCCCGGAGAUGGGGCCCUGGUACCGACAGGACAGGGGUUCCGGGGCCGCAGCCUCCCCAGCCAGGGAUACUCACCGGAGGAGCUGCCCACCGCGUCUUCGCAGCCGGCACUCGGGAAGCUAGCAAAAAGGAGCCGCGUGCCCGCUAGCGCUGGGACUAGUAGGAGCCCGCCGCGGAGGCCGGAGAAAAAGCCGCAGCGCCGCGCGCGCACCCAGACAGCCAACGGAGGCGGGGCGCGGCGCGAGCCCGGAAAAGACGCGCCCGGAGGGGCGGGCGGAGCGGGGGCGCGCGGUGGUGUGGCAGAGCCAGCCGAAUCGCGGGCGGUUGACGGCUCGGCCCACCCACGCGCCCGCCCCCGCUCGCCGGGGACGUCAGCCGAAAAGGCGGAGCCGAGCGGGCUUCCUGGGGCGCGGGAGGGGGUCUGCGGGGAACGCGAGGCGGCUAACGGCUCGCCGCAAGUUGUUUCUCUGGCUGACGAGUCGUUUCUGUCAGGCUCGCUGCUGGUGUGGUUGUUUCGGAAGGUCCUUGCGCCUAAUUGUAGUGAGGAGCAGGACUGGCCCACGCCCUUACCUGCGGCUUGCUUCGCAGAACUCCACCCCUCGAGUGGAUAAAAGUUCCCCUCGAGUCAUCUUCCAGUUGCUCUCAAAAGAUACUCAUGUUUGGAUUUCACUGCUCCUCAUUUAGAGAGCUAUCUUAACGCUGACUAAAAGCAUCUUGCACCUGUAAGCCUGAGCUAAUGCCUCUCAUCCAUUUAUCUUGCCUGUCACUGUGUUAAGAUCCCCACUCUCUCCCACUAAUGAAAUAUCACAGGGACGCAGAAUUUUCACGUUUUCUUCCAUUUCCACGAUGGUUUCAUGGCGAAAGAGCCCCCAACUGAUAAGGAAAAGUCACCGCAGCUUUGUGACAUCUUACUGGCCCUGAUCAUUGCUUAUAAGCCAGUCAUACGAAUGUUGUUACAACAGAUGCAAGAAACUGCCAUUAAACAUUAAAUUCCAGCGAACUAUCUGAGGACUUCAAAAGGGACAGACCAUAAUUGCAAAUGAGCCCUGAUAAACUGCCAAGAAUAUAUCACCCAAAAAAAUAAAUCUCAAUAAUUCUUCCAGUUCCCUGAUGCGUAAUGGCGAGCUAGCUUCCUGGUCCUGAUGGUAAUUGACAUUUCACUUCGCUUGCUGAUUUCCAUUUUCCCACAGAAUUACCAGUUGUGCGUGUAUGUAUGUGUGUGUGUGUAUAUAUAUAUAUAUACAUAUACACACACACACACAGAAAAUGCCUUACCACCUGAGAUUACAGACUAGAGUAGUUCUUAAACUUCAAUGUGCAUCACAAUUUUCUGGAGUGCUUGUUAAAAUGUGGGUUCCUGGAACUACAACUCCCAAAUAUUUUGAUGCUGAUCUGGGUAGGGAUAAGAAAUUUGAAUUUUUAAUAAGCAGCCCAGGUGACACUACGAGUGGUUAGCUGAGACCACAGAGCUACAGUUUUUGUGUGUUACUACUCUAAAGCCGUAUUACCAAUUCAAUUUCCAACAGACCCACCCACUUACAUUAUAAUAUACCUAUAAAUAUUGCUAAGACAGUCAUGUAGCUUCCUUUUUCAAGAUUGACCUAGAAAGUUCAGUACUUCAAACAACGAGUUUGUCAUGUUUAUUUUAUGAAAUCUUGUUUUAUACCAGCAAUAAGCAAUCAUUUGUCAGGUAUAUAAUUCACUGGGUAACUAUGAUGUGUAGAGCACUGUCACCUACAGUUGGGUUAACACAAAUGAAAUCGAAGAAAUGACUAUCCCUGCUCUCAACAAAGUUAGUGUCUAGUUGUGGAAUUAAAAUAUAAACAUAAUACAAACCCAGUGUAGCACAUAAAUUGAUGUGUUGGAUGAAGAAGAAAAAGAACUUGUAAUUAAAGGGUACUUUUGCCAGUUUCCUUUAUUAUCAGUCUCUUAGCCCAGACAUUUUCAAUUAGGUAAUUUCCUCUGAACAGAGUCUUCAGCUUACUGAAAUUUCUCCACCUCUACAAGAUAUAAA